rnacentral:rRNA from 1 species
ACUCCUACGGGAGGCAGCAGUGGGGAAUAUUGCACAAUGGGGCAGCCAAGCCUGAUGCAGCCAUGCCGCGUGUAUGAAGAAGGGCCUUCGGGUUGAUAAAGUACUUUCAGCAGUGAGGAAGGCGGGUACGUUAAUAGCGUGCCGUUUGAUCGUUAGCUGCAGAAGAAGCGACCGGCUAACUCCGUGCCAGCAGCCGCGGUAAUACGGAGGGUGCGAGCGUUAAUCGGAAUUACUGGGCGUAAAGCGCAUGCAGGUGGUUUGUUAAGUCAGAUGUGAAAGCCCGGGGCUCAACCUCGGAAUAGCAUUUGAAACUGGCAGACUAGAGUACUGGUAGAGGGGGUAGAAUUUCAGGUGUAGCGGUGAAAUGCGUAGAGAUCUGAAGGAAUACCGGUGGCGAAGGCGGCCCCCUGGACAGAUACUGACACUCAGAUGCGAAAGCGUGGGGAGCAAACAGGAUUAGAUACCC